UACGUAGGGGGCUAGCGUUGUCCGGAAUCAUUGGGCGUAAAGAGCGCGUAGGCGGCUAGAUAAGUCCGGUGUGAAAGUCAAAGGCUCAACCUUUGAAUGCCGCUGGAAACUGUCUGGCUAGAGUCCGGGAGGGGCAAGUGGAAUUCCUGGUGUAGCGGUGAAAUGCGCAGAUAUCAGGAGGAACACCAAUGGCGAAGGCAGCUCGCUGGAACGGUACUGACGCUGAGGCGCGAAAGCGUGGGGAGCAAACAGG
rnacentral:rRNA from 1 species